GGCUACUGAUCUGAUGCUCCUGAAGAGUGUGAGUGUGUGAGAGGAGAGAGAUAGAGAGUGAGAAGGGGAGACAGACAGAAAGAGAGAGGGAGAAAGGGAGAGAGAGACAGAGAGAUGCAAUCAGAAAGAAAAAGCUAGUGGGAGCAGUAGGACAAUCAGCACCACUGUCUACUGAGACCAUCAGGGCAUCUGAGGCAGGGGGACAAUAGGUGUGGGAAGUCGUCUGAAGCGUCUCAUCUACAUCUGCAUGGUGAGCAUCUGCUGGUAUUUCAGGAAAACAAUAAGUGGUGGAGCUGUCGGGUGGGGCGAGUCAGCUGGUGUUGUGAAUCAGGCCGCCACAGUAAGAGGGCACGGCUUCUUCACAACACCAGGGUCACACCCUUCCACACACAGCGCCAGAAAACACACAGCCACUCACACUGCUGAUGGUCCAGGAAUGAGGCCUACAAGGGCAAUGUUUCUUAACUACCACACCCAGACUACUAAGCGGAGCAGUAAGAUGUCACAAGAAGAUAUCAUGAUAAAGAACUAAGACACUGUAAGGCUUCACUGUGAGGUCACAUACAGAUUUUGGAUUUAGUUUAUAUUUGUAUAUAGCUUCAUACUUGGUAGUAUGUGUUCAGAUUAAAAAAGAAUCCUAUGCCUAUGUAUAUUUUAAUAGUAUAUAUUUUAGAGAAAAAAAAACUAUACAAUAGAGUCUUCAAAAUAAAAAAAGACAAU